AGCUUCAACUUUUCAAGUUUCAACUCUUCCUCCCAAUUACAAAAAAUUCAAGUCUUUGAUUACUUGCUUGAUUCUCUCCAUUCAUAUCUCUGUUUCAAAUAAUUUUAAUGAGAUGGAUUCUGGUGGUGAUUUAUUUUCAUCAAUGAUAUGAGAUGGAUCCAGCAGAUUAUCUCUUUUUCUUCCACAGAACUUGUAUCGUACAAAUUUUUUUUCCCUGUGAUUUAAAAGAGGGGACCAAUGUGGUUCUGAUUUGAUGUAAAUUUUCUGCCAAAAAUGAUUUGGAGUCAGCCUCUGCAAGUUGCGAUUUAAAGAUCAAGAGUUCCAUAUGUUUCUCUUCAAUAGCACAAAAACAUUUUUCAAGUUCUGUUUGAAGCUCCCUUAUUUCUUGUUCUUUGGUGUUCAGUGUAGACUUGAAAGUACUGAUAUCUGCUUCCAUCUUUUCCACUUGACAACUCCAUUCUGAUUCCUUAGACUUGAGCACCAAGGACUGCAAGAUGCUGAGGUCAACAAUUUGGGAGUCAAAGACGCUCUCUCCAUGUUGAGGUUCUACAAAAGAUCGACGACUUAGAAUUCAGCUGUCUCUCUGCUCCAAGUGACAGUCAGUGAGUGGCAGUAGUGAAGGAAAUUCAUUGAAUCUCUCUCUCUGUUUUUAAUCUCUGCUGCCUUACUUGGUGCUCCAUUGACGAAAAAUCCCAAUAUUUUUGGAGGCCUUCUAACUACUGGCAUUUUGGCUUUCUCUGGAACGUCAUGGCUCCUCGGGUCAAGGGUAAAGGUGUCAAGGGUCAUAGAAGUUCUCGCACCACUGCCGCAGCCGCUAUUUCAACCACCUCCACCUCUUCUGGGACUUCGGUUGUGCCAGAUUUUCAGUCAGGAUCACUUAGCCAGCAACCGUAUUUGAUGGUACCUAAUCCAGGCUACACGGGUCUUCCUCCACCAAGUUGGCCUACUCCAGGAUGUAUGGGUCCCCCUCCUCCACCCCCUCCUCCAAUUUCGAUUCCUCCUCCGCUUUGCAAUUCCAAUCUAUUAGUUGAUUCAGAGACACCUAGAAGCUCUAGUACAUCUCCUCCAUCAGAGACUGCAUCGGUUCCUAAUAGUGUCACAAAAGAAAGAUUGGUUCCCGAUGGAAAAACAAGGUAAAAUUUGGAUCUCUCCAUAAUUAAAAUAGCAGCUUCUAGUGGAUUUCCCAUACUGCAUUACCUAUUUCUCUUAUUACUCUUCUACACAAUUUUUACAUACUGCAUUACCUAUUCCUCUUAUUACUCUUUCAGCAAGCAAUACUAAUCACUCUUCUU